GGACGAACGCUGGCGGCGUGCCUAACACAUGCAAGGUCGAACGGAACUGACGCCGGUUCUUCGGAACCAUUGUCAGUUAGUGGCGGACGGGUGAGUAACGCGUGAGUAACCUGCCUCUGAGAGGGGAAUAACGUUCUGAAAAGAACGACUAAUACCGCAUAACAUAUAGAAGUCGCAUGGCUUAUAUAAUCAAAGAUUUUUAUCGCUCGGAGAUGGACUCGCGUCCGAUUAGUUAGUUGGUGAGGUAACGGCUCACCAAGACCGCGAUCGGUAGCCGGACUGAGACGGUUGAUCGGCCACAUUGGGACUGAGACACGGCCCAGACUCCUACGGGAGGCAGCAGUGGGGGAUAUUGCGCAAUGGGGGCAACCCUGACGCAAGCAACGCCGCGUGAAGGAUGAAGGUUUUCGGAUUGUAAACUUCUUUUAUCAGGGACGAAGAUUGACGGUACCUGAUGAAUAAGCUCCGGCUAACUACGUGCCAGCAGCAGC
rnacentral:rRNA from 1 species